GACAUUUACAGUUCUUUGUUAGACCUUGCUCAUACAGUCAACAUGCUGUUUCCUCUAUUUCGUAAUCUCGUCUAUAAUAGCAAUUAAAUGACAUCACGGGUUUUGACAAUUGUAACCCUAAGUGCUUGAUGAUUAGUUCAUAGAAGUAAGGUUAGAUAGACGAGAUGACCUCCGCGUAAACGCAUAAUGAAAUAUCUAUCUUCAUUUAAGAAGGAAAUUCUGCGGGCAAAACACCGGACAAAAGAUCGCUUUCAUCACCGGCUGUUGAAGGACUCGAUGACUGUGAGGGGACCUCUUCGUUGUCUAUGAGACCAGCUUCCAUAGCACCGUCCUGAGCUGACAUGAUGCUCGUUUGCGCGCCUAACGUAUGGAAUUCGAUCUUUGGCGUACCUCUCACACGAGAAAACAGACUUGAUUGACAGCAGCUAAAUAUCUUUUACAUAAGUCUUUUAUUCUAUUUAAUUCCAGUGUAUCUAUUUAUUGAGGUAUAAAACUCAUGGUCAAAUGCCAA